AGUGAACGCUGGCGGUAGGCCUAACACAUGCAAGUCGAACGGCAGCACAGGAGAGCUUGCUCUCUGGGUGGCGAGUGGCGGACGGGUGAGGAAUACAUCGGAAUCUACUCUGUCGUGGGGGAUAACGUAGGGAAACUUACGCUAAUACCGCGUACGACCUACGGGUGAAAGCAGGGGAUCUUCGGACCUUGCGCGAUUGAAUGAGCCGAUGUCGGAUUAGCUAGUUGGCGGGGUAAAGGCCCACCAAGGCGACGAUCCGUAGCUGGUCUGGGAGGAUGAUCAGCCACACUGGAACUGAGACACGGUCCAGACUCCUACGGAAGGCAGCAUUGGGGAAUAUUGGACAAUGGGCGCAAGCCUGAUCCAGCCAUACCGCGUGGGUGAAGAAGGCCUUCGGGUUGUAAAGCCCUUUUGUUGGGAAAGAAAUCCAGCUGGCUAAUACCCGGUUGGGAUGACGGUACCCAAAGAAUAAGCACCGGCUAACUUCGUGCCAGCCGCCGCAGUAA
rnacentral:rRNA from 1 species